CGUCUAUAUACGUAUAGCAUAUCAAUAAGCGGAGGAAAAGAAACUAACAAGGAUUCCCUUAGUAACGGCGAGUGAAGCGGGAAGAGCUCAAAUUUGAAAUCUUCAAGGUUCUACCUUGACGAAUUGUAGUUUAAAGAAGUGUUUUCUGUUAGAUGAGUAGCAAAAGUUCCUUGGAAUGGGACAUCAUAGAGGGUGAGAAUCCCGUAUUUGGUUAUUCAUUCUAGCUUUGUGAUACACUUUCAAAGAGUCGGAUUGUUUGGGAAUGCAGUCCAAAAUGGGUGGUAAAUUUCAUCUAAAGCUAAAUAUUGGCGAGAGACCGAUAGCGAACAAGUACCGUGAGGGAAAGAUGAAAAGAACUUUGAAAAGAGAGUUAAACAGUACGUGAAAUUGUCAAAAGGGAAGCGUUUGACACCAGUGUUGUUUUCUCGAAAAUCAAUUAAAAAAAGUUGGAUUUUGUGGUGUAUUGACCUUAACAGCUUGCUUCACUCUUUUCCUGCUUUUUUUAAUGCACUUUUCGUUUAACAAGUCAACAUCAGUUUCUUUUGUUGUAAAAGGGUCAUUGGAAGGUGGCUUUCUUUCGGAGAAAGUGUUUAUAGCCUUUGCUCUCUGCAAUCGGAGAGAUUGAGGUCUGCAGCGUAGAUCCUUCGGGGUUAGAUACAUUUGUGCUAAGUUAUAGCCUUUCAUAGACAACUUGUUGACUAUGAUCAGUCAUGUAGCUUACUCGCUUAUGCUAUUUUACCUACGCUUAGGAUGUUGAUGUGAUACUGCGAGC
rnacentral:rRNA from 1 species